rnacentral:rRNA from 1 species
AGUGAACGCUGGCGGUAGGCCUAACACAUGCAAGUCGAACGGCAGCACAGUAAGAGCUUGCUCUUACGGGUGGCGAGUGGCGGACGGGUGAGGAAUACAUCGGAAUCUACUUUUUCGUGGGGGAUAACGUAGGGAAACUUACGCUAAUACCGCAUACGACCUACGGGUGAAAGCAGGGGAUCUUCGGACCUUGCGCGAUUGAAUGAGCCGAUGUCGGAUUAGCUAGUUGGCGGGGUAAAGGCCCACCAAGGCGACGAUCCGUAGCUGGUCUGAGAGGAUGAUCAGCCACACUUGAACUGGGAAACGGUCCAGACUCCUACGGGAGGCAGCAGUGGGGAAUUUUGGACAAUGGGCGCAAGCCUGAUCCAGCCAUACCGCGUGGGUGAAGAAGGCCUUCGGGUUGUAAAGCCCUUUUGUUGGGAAAGAAAAGCAGCAGGUUAAUACCCCGCUGUUCUGACGGUACCCAAAGAAUAAGCACCGGCUAACUUCGUG